rnacentral:tRNA from 1 species
GCCUGGGUGGCUCAGUUGGUUAAGCAUCUGACUUCAGCUCAGGUCAUGAUCUCACAGUUCGUGGGUUUGAGCCCCGCAUUGGGCA